AAAUAACAAUGAUUUCCCUAGUAACGGCGAGUGAAGAGGAAAGAGCUCAAAGUUGGAAACUGUUUGGCUUAGCUAAACCGUAUUGUAAACUGUAGAAACAUUUUCCUGGCACGCCGGAUUAAUAAGUCCUUUGGAACAAGGCAUCAUGGAGGGUGAGAAUCCCGUCUUUGAUCCGAGUAGUUGUCUUUUGUGAUAUGUUUUCAAAGAGUCAGGUUGUUUGGGAAUGCAGCCUAAAUUGGGUGGUAAAUCUCACCUAAAGCUAAAUAUUUGCGAGAGACCGAUAGCGAACAAGUACCGUGAGGGAAAGAUGAAAAGAACUUUGAAAAGAGAGUUAAACAGUAUGUGAAAUUGUUAAAAGGGAACCGUUUGGAGCCAGACUGGUUUGACUGUAAUCAACCUAGAAUUCGUUCUGGGUGCACUUGCAGUCUAUACCUGCCAACAACAGUUUGAUUUGGAGGAAAAAAUUAGUAGGAAUGUAGCCUCUCGAGGUGUUAUAGCCUACUAUCAUACUCUGGAUUGGACUGAGGAACGCAGCGAAUGCCUUUAGGCGAGAUUGCUGGGUGCUUUCGCUAAUAAAUGUUAGAAUUUCUGCUUCGGGUGGUGCUAAUGUUUAAAGGAGGAACACA
rnacentral:rRNA from 2 species